UUUAUUAAGUCAGAUGUGAAAGCCCCCGGGGCUUAACCUUGGGAACUGCCAUUUGAAACUGGUCAACUAGAGUAGGGUAGAGGAAAGUGGAAUUUCUGGUGUAGCGGUGAAAUGCGUAGAUAUCAGAAGGAACAUCAAUGGGCGAAGGCAGCUUUCUGGACCAAUACUGACGCUGAGGUACGAAAGCGUGGGUAGCAAACAGGAUUAGAUACCCUGGUAGUCCACGCCGUAAACGAUGAUAACUAGCCGUUGGGGGGAUUUACCCUUUAGUGGCGAAGCUAACGCGUUAAGUUAUCCGCCUGGGGAGUACGGCCGCAAGGUUAAAACUCAAAGGAAUUGACGGGGACCCGCACAAGCGGUGGAGCAUGUGGUUUAAUUCGAUGCAACGCGAAGAACCUUACCUGGUCUUGACAUCCUGCGAACUUUCUAGAAAUAGAUUGGUGCCUUCGGGAACGCAGUGACAGGUGCUGCAUGGCUGUCGUCAGCUCGUGUCGUGAGAUGUUGGGUUAAGUCCCGUAACGAGCGCAACCCCUAUCCUUAUUUGCCAGCACAUUAUGGUGGGAACUAUAAGGAGACUGCCGGUGAUAAACCGGAGGAAGGCGGGGACGACGUCAAGUCAUCAUGGCCCUUACGACCAGGGCUACACACGUGCUACAAUGGGAAGGACAAAGAGCCGCGAAGCCGCGAGGUGUAGCUAAUCUCAUAAACCUUUUCGUAGUCCGGAUUGGAGUCUGCAACUCGACUCCAUGAAGUCGGAAUCGCUAGUAAUCGUAGAUCAGAAUGCUACGGUGAAUACGUUCCCGGGUCUUGUACACACCGCCCGUCAUACCAUGGGAGUGGGUUGCACCAGAAGUGGCUAGUCUAACUUAGUGAGGACGGUCACCACGGUGUGAUUCAUGACUGGGGUAAAGUCGUAACAAGGUAGCCCUACCGGAAGGUGG
rnacentral:rRNA from 1 species